CAACUUUUAACAAUGGAUCUCUUGGUUCUCGCAUCGAUGAAGAACGUAGCAAAGUGCGAUAACUAGUGUGAAUUGCAUAUUCAGUGAAUCAUCGAGUCUUUGAACGCAUCUUGCACUCAAUGGUAUUCCAUUGAGUACGCCUGUUUCAGUAUCAAAAA
rnacentral:rRNA from 1 species